GUUUAGAACGUCGUGAGACAGUUCGGUCCCUAUCUGCCGUGGGCGCUGGAGAACUGAGGGGGGCUGCUCCUAGUACGAGAGGACCGGAGUGGACGCAUCACUGGUGUUCGGGUUGUCAUGCCAAUGGCACUGCCCGGUAGCUAAAUGCGGAAGAGAUAAGUGCUGAAAGCAUCUAAGUACGAAACUUGCCCCGAGAUGAGUUCUCCCUGAGACUAUAAGUCUCCUGAAGGAACGUUAAAGACCAUGACGUUGAUAGGCCGGGUGUGUAAGCGCAGCGAUGCGUUGAGCUAACCGGUACUAAUGAACCGUGAGGCUUAACCUUACAACGCCGAAG
rnacentral:rRNA from 1 species